GAUUGUUUCUUGUUGUGUGGAUAUGCUCUUGUUGGCCUUCCAGCUGGAAGUACAGGAUCAUUGUAUCUUUUCAGCAGGUUUUCUGGCUACUCCUGAGGGAAGGACCCUGGCGUAGUUUCUGCUUCCUUUCAUAUCAGAAGAUAAGACACCUUUCUCAUUGCUUGUUGAACAUCCCACCUUUGAUGUACCACUGUCACCAAGUAUACGGACACAAAUAGGAGUUCCAGCAGUGAUUCCUGUUAAGAAAAGAGAGAUGGGAAUAGGGUAAG